GCCGUUCAGAUAGUAUGGUGGAUAUGACCUUCGGCUUGUAACCGAGAGGGCUCGGGAUCGAAUCCUGAGAAAGGCA